ACUAAGCGUACACGGUGGAUGCCCUGGCAGUCAGAGGCGAUGAAGGACGUGCUAAUCUGCGAUAAGCGUCGGUAAGGUGAUAUGAACCGUUAUAACCGGCGAUUUCCGAAUGGGGAAACCCAGUGUGAUUCGUCACACUAUCAUUAACUGAAUCCAUAGGUUAAUGAGGCGAACCGGGGGAACUGAAACAUCUAAGUACCCCGAGGAAAAGAAAUCAACCGAGAUUCCCCCAGUAGCGGCGAGCGAACGGGGAGGAGCCCAGAGCCUGAAUCAGUGUGUGUGUUAGUGGAAGCGUCUGGAAAGGCGCGCGAUACAGGGUGACAGCCCCGUACACAAAAAUGCACAUGCUGUGAGCUCGAUGAGUAGGGCGGGACACGUGGUAUCCUGUCUGAAUAUGGGGGGACCAUCCUCCAAGGCUAAAUACUCCUGACUGACCGAUAGUGAACCAGUACCGUGAGGGAAAGGCGAAAAGAACCCCGGCGAGGGGAGUGAAAAAGAACCUGAAACCGUGUACGUACAAGCAGUGGGAGCACAGAGCAAUCUGUGUGACUGCGUACCUUUUGUAUAAUGGGUCAGCGACUUAUAUUCUGUAGCAAGGUUAACCGAAUAGGGGAGCCGAAGGGAAACCGAGUCUUAACCGGGCGUUAAGUUGCAGGGUAUAGACCCGAAACCCGGUGAUCUAGCCAUGGGCAGGUUGAAGGUUGGGUAACACUAACUGGAGGACCGAACCGACUAAUGUUGAAAAAUUAGCGGAUGACUUGUGGCUGGGGGUGAAAGGCCAAUCAAACCGGGAGAUAGCUGGUUCUCCCCGAAAGCUAUUUAGGUAGCGCCUCGUGAAUUCAUCUCCGGGGGUAGAGCACUGUUUCGGCAAGGGGGUCAUCCCGACUUACCAACCCGAUGCAAACUGCGAAUACCGGAGAAUGUUAUCACGGGAGACACACGGCGGGUGCUAACGUCCGUCGUGAAGAGGGAAACAACCCAGACCGCCAGCUAAGGUCCCAAAGUCAUGGUUAAGUGGGAAACGAUGUGGGAAGGCCCAGACAGCCAGGAUGUUGGCUUAGAAGCAGCCAUCAUUUAAAGAAAGCGUAAUAGCUCACUGGUCGAGUCGGCCUGCGCGGAAGAUGUAACGGGGCUAAACCAUGCACCGAAGCUGCGGCAGCGACACUGUGUGUUGUUGGGUAGGGGAGCGUUCUGUAAGCCUGUGAAGGUGUACUGUGAGGUAUGCUGGAGGUAUCAGAAGUGCGAAUGCUGACAUAAGUAACGAUAAAGCGGGUGAAAAGCCCGCUCGCCGGAAGACCAAGGGUUCCUGUCCAACGUUAAUCGGGGCAGGGUGAGUCGACCCCUAAGGCGAGGCCGAAAGGCGUAGUCGAUGGGAAACAGGUUAAUAUUCCUGUACUUGGUGUUACUGCGAAGGGGGGACGGAGAAGGCUAUGUUGGCCGGGCGACGGUUGUCCCGGUUUAAGCGUGUAGGCUGGUUUUCCAGGCAAAUCCGGAAAAUCAAGGCUGAGGCGUGAUGACGAGGCACUACGGUGCUGAAGCAACAAAUGCCCUGCUUCCAGGAAAAGCCUCUAAGCAUCAGGUAACAUCAAAUCGUACCCCAAACCGACACAGGUGGUCAGGUAGAGAAUACCAAGGCGCUUGAGAGAACUCGGGUGAAGGAACUAGGCAAAAUGGUGCCGUAACUUCGGGAGAAGGCACGCUGAUAUGUAGGUGAAGUCCCUCGCGGAUGGAGCUGAAAUCAGUCGAAGAUACCAGCUGGCUGCAACUGUUUAUUAAAAACACAGCACUGUGCAAACACGAAAGUGGACGUAUACGGUGUGACGCCUGCCCGGUGCCGGAAGGUUAAUUGAUGGGGUCAGCGCAAGCGAAGCUCUUGAUCGAAGCCCCGGUAAACGGCGGCCGUAACUAUAACGGUCCUAAGGUAGCGAAAUUCCUUGUCGGGUAAGUUCCGACCUGCACGAAUGGCGUAAUGAUGGCCAGGCUGUCUCCACCCGAGACUCAGUGAAAUUGAACUCGCUGUGAAGAUGCAGUGUACCCGCGGCAAGACGGAAAGACCCCGUGAACCUUUACUAUAGCUUGACACUGAACAUUGAGCCUUGAUGUGUAGGAUAGGUGGGAGGCUUUGAAGUGUGGACGCCAGUCUGCAUGGAGCCGACCUUGAAAUACCACCCUUUAAUGUUUGAUGUUCUAACGUGGACCCGUGAUCCGGGUUGCGGACAGUGUCUGGUGGGUAGUUUGACUGGGGCGGUCUCCUCCUAAAGAGUAACGGAGGAGCACGAAGGUUGGCUAAUCCUGGUCGGACAUCAGGAGGUUAGUGCAAUGGCAUAAGCCAGCUUGACUGCGAGCGUGACGGCGCGAGCAGGUGCGAAAGCAGGUCAUAGUGAUCCGGUGGUUCUGAAUGGAAGGGCCAUCGCUCAACGGAUAAAAGGUACUCCGGGGAUAACAGGCUGAUACCGCCCAAGAGUUCAUAUCGACGGCGGUGUUUGGCACCUCGAUGUCGGCUCAUCACAUCCUGGGGCUGAAGUAGGUCCCAAGGGUAUGGCUGUUCGCCAUUUAAAGUGGUACGCGAGCUGGGUUUAGAACGUCGUGAGACAGUUCGGUCCCUAUCUGCCGUGGGCGCUGGAGAACUGAGGGGGGCUGCUCCUAGUACGAGAGGACCGGAGUGGACGCAUCACUGGUGUUCGGGUUGUCAUGCCAAUGGCACUGCCCGGUAGCUAAAUGCGGAAGAGAUAAGUGCUGAAAGCAUCUAAGCACGAAACUUGCCCCGAGAUGAGUUCUCCCUGACCCUUUAAGGGUCCUGAAGGAACGUUGAAGACGACGACGUUGAUAGGCCGGGUGUGUAAGCGCAGCGAUGCGUUGAGCUAACCGGUACUAAUGAACCGUGAGGCUUAACC
rnacentral:rRNA from 1 species